rnacentral:rRNA from 1 species
UGAGGAAUAUUGGUCAAUGGACGCAAGUCUGAACCAGCCAUGCCGCGUGAAGGAUGAAGGCGUUCUGCGUUGUAAACUUCUUUUAUCUGGGAAGAAACCUUAGUUUUCUAAUUAAGCCGACGGUACCAGAGGAAUAAGCACCGGCUAACUCCGUGCCAGCAGCCGCGGUAAUACGGAGGGUGCAAGCGUUAUCCGGAUUCACUGGGUUUAAAGGGUGUGUAGGCGGGCAGGUAAGUCCGAGGUGAAAUCUCUGAGCUCAACUCAGAAACUGCCUUGGAUACUAUUUGUCUUGAAUAUCGUUGAGGUUGGCGGAAUAUGUCAUGUAGCGGUGAAAUGCUUAGAUAUGACAUAGAACACCGAUUGCGAAGGCAGCUAGCUAAACGAUUAUUGACGCUGAGGCACGAAAGCGUGGGGAUCAAACA